rnacentral:rRNA from 1 species
AUUGAACGCUGGCGGCAGGCCUAACACAUGCAAGUCGAGCGGAGUGGCGGACGGGUGAGUAAUGCCUAGGCAUCUGCCUGGUAGUGGGGGAUAACGUCCGGCAACGGGCGCUAAUACCGCAUACUAUCAGAUGAGCCUAGGUCGGUUGCGCAAGUUGGUGGGUUAAAGGCCUACCAGGGCGACGAUCGUUAACUGGUCUGAGAGGAUGAUCAGUCACACGGGAACUGAGACACGGCCCAAACUCCUACGGGAGGCAGCGGUGGGGAAUAUUGGACAAGGGGCGAAAGCCGGAGCCAGCAAUGCCGCGUGGGUGAAGAAGGUCUUCGGAUGGUAAAGUACUUUAAGUUGGAAGGCGUUACCAACAGAAAAAGCACCGGCUAACUACGUGCCAGCAGCCGCGGUAAUAC